GCCCGGCUGGCACAAUUGGUUAGCGCGUGAGACUCUUAAUCUCAAGGUUGUGGGUGUAAGUUCAAAUCAACUACCAGUUU